rnacentral:rRNA from 1 species
AUGACAGCAUGGAACCCAGAAGGAAGAAGUAGGGGUGUGGCGUUGUUCUGGCGAAGGGGGAUAGAUGUGAUGCUCAGAUCGUAUGGUAGGAUACAUAUAGACGUGGAUGUGCGGGAGGAUGAUGGAAGGAUGUGGAGGUUAACGGGUGUAUAUGGUGAAUCAGUUACGGAGCGGAAGGAUACAUGGCGUACCCUAAGACUUUUGGGGCAACAACAUUAGGAUGGGAGGCCGUGGUUAUGCCUAGGAGACUUUAAUGAAAUCCUCUCGGAUGAUGAAAAGGUUGGAGGAGUGUUACGGCCACAAGUCAUGAUGGAUAAUUUCCGGGAAGCUUUGGUAGAGCUUAGCGACAUUGGCUACUCAGGGGAUAAAUAUACCUGGAGGAAUCACAGCAAGGACAUCCACAACUACAUUUGUGAAAGGCUGGACCGUGCCACGGCUAACUCGGCUUGGUGUGAGAUGUUUUCAGACUAUACUGUGAUCAAUGGGCCACCCCGCCACUCGGAUCAUCGGUCGGUAGUUGUGUGCACUCGAGGAGAGGGGAGAACGCCUGCCCGUGGGGAUAGGGGGUUUCGGUUCGAGGCGUGGUGGCUAAAGGAGGAGGGGUGUAGCGCUGAAAUACAAGGAGCUUGGGAGGAGGGUAUGCUGGGAGAGACAACAAAUGUGGCCUACACACUUCGGUGUGUUGCAGGGAGAAUGACAAAAUGGCACAAGGAAGUUGUGGGGGAGCUAGAUGGCCGCCUAAAGAAAGCAAAACGUGACCUGGAGAAGUGUAUGUGUGCCCCGGUGUCAGAAAGGAAGAUUAGGGAGGAGGCUAGGCUACAGUGUGCUGUGGAAGAGUUAGAGGUGAAGAAGAAUAUAAAAGCAAAGCAGCGAUCACAUGUUACCUGGCUGCGAGAUGGCAAUAGAAGCACGAAGUAUUUCAUGGUUGUGGCAAAUGCUAGACGGAAGGCUAAUAGAGUGAAGGGGUUAAGAAGGGAGGAUGGAUCGGUGGUGAAGGAGGGAGAAGGGCUUUCUAACUAUAUUUGCUCCUUUUUCGAAUUGUUCACCUCAUCAGCGGGUACAAGGAUAAAUGAACUCAUUCAGAAAGUUGAGCCACGGGUCACAGAGGGCAUGAGACUCAUAUUGGAGGCUGAAUUUACUCGGGAGGAGGUCAAGGCAACGUUGGAUCAUAUUGGGAACCUUAAAGCACCUGGACCCGAUGGAAUGCCCUCUCUUGUGUACAAGCAACAUUGGCACUUUAUGGGUGAUAAAGUUGUUGAGGAAGUGCUUGCAGUUCUUAAUGGGGCCGAGAUGCCGGAAGGGUGGAACGAUACGCUGGUUGUGUUCAUCCCGAAGGUCAAGAACCCGAACCGGAUUAAGGAUCUCCGGCUCAUCAGCUUAUGCAACGUCAUCUACCACUACUAG